GUCUCAAAGAUUAAGCCAUGCAUGUCUAAGUACAAGCGAAAAUAAAGUGAAACCGCAAAAGGCUCAUUAUAUCAGUUAUGGUUCCUUAGAUCGUAUCCACAAUUACUUGGAUAACUGUGGUAAUUCUAGAGCUAAUACAUGCAUUUAAAGAGAAACCAGUAAAAUGGGAUCUCUGCUUUUAUUAGAUUUAAAUCAAUGGGGAGUGUUUCGGCAUUCUCAAUUAAAAUGGUUGAACUCUGGAUAAUUUGUUGAUCGCAUGGUCUCGUACCGGCGACGGAUCUUUCAAAUGUCUGCCCUAUCAACUAUUGAAGGUAGUGUCUUGGACUACCUUGGUUGCAACGGGUAACGGGGAAUCAGGGUUCGAUUCCGGAGAGGGAGCCUGAGAAACGGCUACCACAUCUAAGGAAGGCAGCAGGCGCGUAAAUUACCCACUCCCGGCACGGGGAGGUAGUGACGAAAAAUAACAAUACAAGACUCACAUCCGAGGCCUUGUAAUUGGAAUGAGUACACUUUAAAUCCUUUAACAAGGAUCAAUUGGAGGGCAAGUCUGGUGCCAGCAGCCGCGGUAAUUCCAGCUCCAAUAGCGUAUAUUAAAGUUGUUGCGGUUAAAACGUUCGUAGUUGAACUUGUGUUUCGCACGGGCAGUACCUAGGACUAGGUAACUAGGACGGUGCUUUGUCUUAUCUUUCCUAUUCUUUAUCGGAUUUGGAAAAAGUGCGUGAACGUAUUAUCGGCGUGUUCGUUUUUCGGAACGUUCACAUAAGCCCAUUUCAGUGCUCUUCAUCGAGUGUUGUUGUGGGCCGAUACAAAUUACUUUGAACAAAUUAGAGUGCUUAAAGCAGGCUUGUAAUGCCUGAAUAUUUUGUGCAUGGAAUAAUGAAAUAGGACAUCUGUUCUACUUUCAUUGGUUUUUUAGACCAAGAUGUAAUGAUUAAUGGAAGCAGUUGGGGGCAUUAGUAUUACAACGCGAGAGGUGAAAUUCUUAGACCGUUGUAAGACUGACUAAAGCGAAAGCAUUUGCCAAAGAUGUUUUCAUUUAAUCAAGAACGAAAGUUAGAGGUUCGAAGGCGAUC
rnacentral:rRNA from 1 species